CAAUAGCGUAUAUUAACGUUGUUGCAGUUAAAAAGCUCGUAGUUGGAUUUCUGGAGGGAGCGUCGGCCCGUAUUUACGAGUGCGUGACGUCUCUGUCCAUCCUUGCGGGAAGGCACGGCAUUGAUUUGUUGUGUCGGAUCGCAUCAUUUACUGUGAAAAAAUUAGAGUGUUCAAAGCAGGCUUUCGCUUGAAUACAUUAGCAUGGAAUAAUAAGAUAGGACUUUGGUGCUAUUUUGUUGGUUGAGCCUAAAGUAAUGAUUAAUAGGGAUAGUUGGGGGCACCUGUAUUGCGUUGUCAGAGGUGAAAUUCUUGGAUUUACGCAAGACAAACAGCUGCGAAANCGNNNGCGAAGGAUGUUUUCAUNAA
rnacentral:rRNA from 1 species